rnacentral:rRNA from 1 species
UACAGAGGUCCCGAGCGUUGUUCGGAUUUACUGGGCGUAAAGGGUGCGUAGGUGGUUCUGUAUGUCUACCGUGAAAGCGUACGGCUCAACCGUAUUUUGUCGGUAGAAACUGCAGGACUUGAGGCUGGGAGGGGCUGGUGGAAUUCCCUGUGUAGCGGUGAAAUGCGUAGAGAUGGGGGAGAACACUCGUGGCGAAGGCGGCCAGCUAGACCAGUUCUGACACUGAGGCGCGACAGCGUGGGGAGCAAACAGG